CUGUGAAUAUGAAGAAGAGCCUUACCAAAAAAACCUUAGAGACUGAAGACAUUCUCACAUUUGCAGAAGCAUAUAAGACACUAUUUACACAAAGGCAGUGAAAGGGGUAAAAAAUUAUUGCAGUCAAUUAAUGCUGAUAGAACUUUUUAUUAUAAAAAGAGAAAGAAGAGAAACAGUGCAAAAAUACUGUCAAAAGUAAUCAGUUCUAUACACAAGAUAAAACUGACAAGCAUAAGCUUAUGUACUGAUAUGAAUAAUACAUUAGAAUAUAAAAUAGCAUGCAUAGAUUUUUUUAAAGGCUUUCAAUAGCAUAGAAUAGUUCUGCCAUUCAGCCCUAACAGGAGGGGUUAGGGGCAGGAAGGGCACAUAACUGAUGUCUCAUUUCUCUACAAAAUGUGUAAAUACAAUGAGGUGGUGAGAUUCAGAUCAUUGUUUUGUGCUAAACUGACAGGUACAGAAUUACAGAACAAAUAAAACAGGAAGCAUCACAAUACUGAAGUAAAACAGGACAGUAAAAUCCAGUGACAUAAAACUUAAACAUGUUAUCUCAUUUAACACAUUCCACACAAUAACAUAUGGGAAUAUUACAGUCAUCUGCAUGUGUAAACUUUUUCCUUUGUAAAAUAACCACAGAAAGGUACUUUACUAGUGAGGAAAAUGUGUUUUCCAUAUAGAACAAUCUCAACAAGAUAAACAUCCUAUUACCGGUGUUUCUGGCAUUACAGAUUUGCUUUCUUUUCAAGACCAAGCAGAAGCAAGAAAACACUUUUAUUUAGCAUACACAAAAAGGAAGUUCAUAUACAUUACGUCUAUAAGUUGUGGAACUCACCAGCACAGGACAUUGUGAAAGCCAGAGGAAUAAAUGGCUUCUAAAGAGAAGGUAAUGUGAUUCAUGGAAAACGGAUCCAUGGAUGGAUCAGUGAGCAGGAUAUCUUUGGCCUCAGGAAGCCCCUAAAGCACUGGUUGCCAGGUACACCAGAGAGGCUGAGCACCCUUUUCUAGACACAUCCCUAUUUCUUGCUCAACUACCAGCCACUGCCUAAGUCAGGGGGUGCCCCCCAGCCUGACACGGAAACCGUUUGUGGCAAACAUUCCUCUUUUCUGCCUCCCUGCCUAAUCAAGGAACACUGCCCCUGAAAUCACUGGAACUGGCUGUCCAACCACUGAGUCCUUACCCAGGUGAAUCAGUGGUAGUCCUUCCCUUGCUGUUAUAUAGUGCUGGAAUUCUCCAGUGGAAGCUCCUGUUUAUCACUGAUUUCCAGUUCACUCUCUGAAGGCGAAGUCCUGGUGUUACAGAGUGUGGGAAACUCUUGGUGAGGGUGCACAUAAAGCACAGGCAACCAAACUUCAGAGAAAUGCCAGCCAAAAAACAGCAGAGAGAAACCAAUGGAACUGUUAGCUAAAAUACUCCAAAAACACUGACUAAAUUUAUUUACUUUAAAUAUUUAUAUAAACACUGCUAUUUUUGACCUGUGCGCUGUUUUGUUUCACAAUCUAACAAUACUUUAUUUAUGGUUAAAACCUCCAUCUUGUUUGCCCCACAGCCAUCGGUUCCCUUCCUCAAAUCCCAAUCCCUGCAAGUAUCUGCAUGAGUAAUGUCCUUCUCUCUAAAGACUUAGAUGGCAUCUAUAGAUCCCUUAGCACCAGAUAGUACAAGAAAACCUCUCUAGAAGACUAAGAGCAAGCUGGGGACAAUUGCUUUUGGGGUUCUGGACUUGCAGCCUUUCUCUUACCAGCAUCAAAACCUAUCCCCAGCUCCGUAUGUCUUGAAGUAUACAUCAGCAGCUUUAUAGUUAUUUUGUAGAAGAGUGGUCAAAGGCUGUUUUCAUGCAGUCCUUCCUCUCAUGGCCAGCUCAGGAGUUUGCUCCUGCAAAUGUGAUGCAGCCUUUAUUUCCUGCAGUGGCUACCACCCUAGUGUUUUUUAUCCACCAAGAUAAGCAGCAAAAUUUAACUCAGACCUCCCUCAGUGAUGCAUGAGAGCUGCUACAGCAGAGAUCAGCCUGAUGAUUCCAGUUUCUGAGCACACAGACCACAAACUGUUAGCAGGCUGACAACAGCUAAUUCAGUCAUCAUCUCCUCCCAGGAGACCAGUGGGAAGUCGGCUGUUGGAAAUGCAGCAUUGUCAGUAGCUCUGCUGAAUUUUCCCUACAGAUUUCCGUGCUAUAUCCAAGUACAAGAUUGCCCAUCAACAUUUCUUUUAAGUUGCUUGUGGACUACACAGACAUAGCAGGUAUUGGAUAAAAGAAUUAUCCCGGCUGACAAUGACAAGCAUUAUUGAAGCACUUAGGUUGGAAAAGAAUUACUAUGUUUUUCCACUUGCAUUUCUGUUUGUUUACAAGAAAGUAAUUUUAAAAACCCCAGCUUUUGAAAUCAUGCAAAUAUUUAAUAAUAUUUGUACCUGAGGCAGCUGAUUUAAAUAAGUAGAACAGAAAUGCACUUCAAUAUACUUCAAGAACUGGCAAUAGGUUGAGUAAGUUCUCAGAGAUGUGUCUUCUGCCAGCUAAAAUUAGUUUGGGGAACCUCUGAUAAGGCUGAGCAUUUAGGAUCUCUGUAUGCCUUUACAUGACAAGGAAAAUGCUUGUGGGAACAAGCUUCAUCUUUCCCCAGGUAGUCAAGGACAAGAGGUGCAAAACAAGCCUUUGUAGGACCUGAAACAAGUAGGACCUGAGCAGCUGAUGCCCACCAUCCUCCAGUGUGACUGAUGGAGGACAGAAAGGAUCCCCACAGCACUGAGCAGCAUCACAACUCGGCUGUCAUCUCUCCCAUCCCUGCUCGAACAAUGGGAAGCGUGAAAUGCUCAGACCAUAACUUUAACCAAAAAGCUGAUGCCAUCACCUCAAUACUACAGUUGGUAAGAGUUUAAAUUUAAAAAGCAAAGGUUGUUAAAUACAGAUGAAGAGUGUACUAAAAGGAAAACAGACAUGCUCAAGCCAGACUAACUCAUCUGCUUAAGUUCUCUCUUGGAAAGCAUCUCACCCUGGGAGAAGACUGCUUGGGUCAAAAUUCCAUUCAUUGAUGAAUCAUUGUGAGAUUUUUCAAUCCAGACUUUACUCCAAAUGGGUGAAACUAGUCUCAAACUACUGUUAUACUUUGAUGUUAAAAAACAUGAACACAACAAACAGCAAUUCCAAACUGCCCUUUUCUCCUCAAGGGUUCUGCUGUUUAAAAGUCUGAGGGACAGAAACUAAACAGCGCUGUUGCUUUAAGGCUCAUGUGUUCAUUCCUGCUAUGACUAAGAAAAUUGGAUGCAAAAUGCAUUUUCCUGUCACUCCCUAAAGGUUAGGAAAUACUGCCCAAGCAAUUUUGGCCUGAUAAAACUACAACAGGUUCAAAGUGAGAAGGUUCAUUUUUUCCUUUACAAAACUGUAUCACAUUUCAACCAUAAAACAUCAGCAUGCUGAGGGCUGCUUGUAAGCUGGGGUGGAAAGGAACCUCUGAAGACAUGCACCAGCCCAAUUCACUUAUGAUAUUAACAGAUCUAGUCAAGAUAAAAUCUAGCAGGGAAAAAUACAUUGAAGUCAGAUGAAAGGAAAAGUUUAAAAUUACCAUUCUUUGACAAUGAAAGGGAAAAAGUGACUCACAUUGGCCUCUAUCUGCCAUACCAGCCACAUUAGGAGUUAAUUGGAAAUGACUGUUUACCACAUGGCCACUUAUUUGGCUCAUUAAUAGGCACUGACUUAAUUUGGAAAGGAUUUUUUGUGCCUUUUUCUAAUUAAUGUUUUUCUAAGACACCUAUGAUGCAUCUUUGCAUAAAAAAAACAUUUGCUUAAUUUUCUUCCCUUCAAACACAGCUCUUCACACUCUCUUAUGCAAUGACUUUCCUGUGCUCACUGUAGCAGCAGAAAUACACAUUUCAGCCAAGAGCAGCUGAAUAAUAAGACAUAAGAACAGAUUCUUUUCCCUCCUGAUUUUCUACUUCUCACAUCCAAGUGGAGCAAUGGGACUUGACAGCUCUGAGUUCAAACUUAAUUCAUCAUAAGGAAAUUAUUCAAAAAGUUAUAAC